rnacentral:rRNA from 1 species
UACGAAGGGGGCUAGCGUUGUUCGGAAUUACUGGGCGUAAAGCGCGUGUAGGCGGGUCUUUAAGUCAGGGGUGAAAUGCCAAGGCUCAACCUUGGAACUGCCUUUGAUACUGGAGAUCUUGAGUCCGGGAGAGGUGAGUGGAAUUGCGAGUGUAGAGGUGAAAUUCGUAGAUAUUCGCAAGAACACCAGUGGCGAAGGCGGCUCACUGGCCCGAUACUGACGCUGAGGUGCGAAAGCGUGGGGAGCAAACAGG